AGAGUUUGAUCCUGGCUCAGGACGAACGCUGGCGGCGUGCUUAACACAUGCAAGUCAAGGGGGCCCAGCAAUGGGCAACCGGCGAACGGGUGCGUAACACGUGAGCAACCUACCGAAAUGCGGGGGAUAGCCGGCCUAACGGCCGAGUAAUACCGCAUACGCUCUUUAUGAGGCAUUUCAUGGAGAGGAAACCUACGGGGUAUUUCGAGGGGCUCGCGGCCUACCAGCUAGUUGGCGAGGUAACGGCUCACCAAGGCAACGACGGGUAGCUGGUCUGAGAGGAUGGCCAGCCACAUUGGGACUGAGAUACGGCCCAGNACUCCUACGGGAGGCAGCAGUGGGGAAUCUUGCGCAAUGGCCUAACGGCUGACGCAGCGACGCCGCGUGUGGGAUGAAGCUCCUCGGAGUGUAAACCACUGUUGCCCGGGACGAAUAGCUCGAUUAAUCGAGCCUGACGGUACCGGGUGAGGAAGCACCGGCUAACUCCGUGCCAGCAGCCGCGGUAAUACGGGGGGUGCGAGCGUUGUCCGGAAUCACUGGGCGUAAAGGGCGCGUAGGUGGUUUGAUAAGGGUGUGGUGAAAGUCCGGGGCUCAACCCCGGAUCUGCCGUGCCGACUGUCAAACUCNAGGACUGUAGAGGCAGACGGAAUUCCGGGUGUANCGGUGGAAUGCGUANAGAUCCGGAGGAAGACCGGUGGCGAAGGCGGUCUGCUGGGCANU
rnacentral:rRNA from 1 species